UACGUAGGUCGCAAGCGUUGUCCGGAUUUACUGGGCGUAAAGAGCGCGCAGGCGGCUGGUCAAGUCCGAUGUGAAAUCUCCCGGCUCAACUGGGAAACUGCAUCGGAAACUGAUCGGCUUGAAGAUGGGAGAGGGUAGUGGAAUUCCCGGUGUAGUGGUGAAAUGCGUAGAUAUCGGGAGGAACACCAGUGGCGAAGGCGACUACCUGGCCCAUUCUUGACGCUGAGGCGCGAAAGCUAGGGGAGCGAGCGGG
rnacentral:rRNA from 1 species